rnacentral:rRNA from 1 species
AGAGUUUGAUCCUGGCUCAGAUUGAACGCUGGCGGCAUGCUUUACACAUGCAAGUCGAGCGGCAGCGCGGGGGCAACCCUGGCGGCGAGCGGCGAACGGGUGAGUAAUGCAUCGGAACGUGUCCGGGAGUGGGGGAUAACCCGCCGAAAGGCGGGCUAAUACCGCAUAUGCUCUUUGGAGGAAAGGGGGGGACCGCAAGGCCUCCCGCUUUCGGAGCGGCCGAUGCCCGAUUAGCUAGUUGGUGGGGUAAUGGCUUACCAAGGCGACGAUCGGUAGCUGGUCUGAGAGGAUGAUCAGCCACACUGGGACUGAGACACGGCCCAGACUCCUACGGGAGGCAACAGUGGGGAAUUUUGGACAAUGGGGGCAACCCUGAUCCAGCCAUGCCGCGUGCGGGAAGAAGGCCUUCGGGUUGUAAACCGCUUUUAGCCGGGAAGAAAAGGCGAGGGAUAACACCCUUCGUUCUUGACGGUACCGGCGGAAUAAGCACCGGCUAACUACGUGCCAGCAGCCGCGGUAAUACGUAGGGUGCGAGCGUUAAUCGGAAUUACUGGGCGUAAAGCGUGCGCAGGCGGUUCGUUAAGUCUGAUGUGAAAGCCCCGGGCUCAACCUGGGAAUGGCAUUGGAUACUGGCGGGCUUGAGUGUGGCAGAGGGGGGUGGAAUUCCGCGUGUAGCAGUGAAAUGCGUAGAGAUGCGGAGGAACACCGAUGGCGAAGGCAGCCCCCUGGGCUGACACUGACGCUCAGGCACGAAAGCGUGGGGAGCAAACAGGAUUAGAUACCCUGGUAGUCCACGCCCUAAACGAUGAUCACUGGGUGUUCGGGGAGCGAUCUCUGGGUACCGUAGCUAACGCGUGAAGUGAUCCGCCUGGGGAGUACGGUCGCAAGAUUAAAACUCAAAGGAAUUGACGGGGACCCGCACAAGCGGUGGAUGAUGUGGAUUAAUUCGAGGCAACGCGAAGAACCUUACCAGGGCUUGACAUCUCCUGAAGACACAAGAGAUUGUGUUGUCCCUUCGGGGCAGGAAGACAGGUGGUGCAUGGUUGUCGUCAGCUCGUGUCGUGAGAUGUUCGGUUAAGUCCGGCAACGAGCGCAACCCCUGUGGCCAGUUGCCAUCAUUCAGUUGGGCACUCUGGCAAGACCGCCGUUAACAAAACGGAGGAAGGUGGGGAUGACGUCAAAUCAUCAUGCCCCUUAUGUCCUGGGCUUCACACGUACUACAAUGGUAACAACAGAGGGCUGCCACACCGCGAGGUGGAGCGAAUCCCAAAAUGUUAUCUCAGUUCGGAUUGCAGGCUGAAACUCGCCUGCAUGAAGCAGGAAUUGCUAGUAAUGGCAGGUCAGCAUACUGCCGUGAAUACGUUCCCGGGCCUUGUACACACCGCCCGUCACACCAUGAGAGUUUGUAACACCCGAAGUCAGUAGUCUAACCCAGCGAUGGGAGGGCGCUGCCGAAGGUGGGACAGAUGAUUGGGGUGAAGUCGUAACAAGGUAACC